GAUAAACGCUAGUGGCAGGCUUAAUACAUGCAAGUCGUGGGGCAGCAGGGGUAGCAAUACCCGCUGGCGACCGGCAAACAGGUGCGGAACACGUACGCAACUUUCCUUUAACUGGAGAAUAGCCCCUCGAAAGAGGGAUUAAUACUCCGUACAUAUACAUGUGGCAUCACAAGUAUAUUAUAGCUCCGGCGGUUAAAGAUGGGCGUGCGCCUGAUUAGAUAGUUGGCGGGGUAACGGCCCACCAAGUCUGCGAUCAGUAACUGGUGUGAGAGCACGACCAGUCACACGGGCACUGAGACACGGGCCCGACACCUACGGGAGGCAGCAGUAAGGAAUAUUGGUCAAUGGACGCAAGUCUGAACCAGCCAUGCCGCGUGGAGGAUUAAGGCCCUCUGGGUUGUAAACUCCUUUUAUCUGGGAAGAAAUCCGGGAAUUCUUUUCCGGGUUGACGGUACCAGAGGAAUAAGCACCGGCUAACUCCGUGCCAGCCGCCGCCGUAAC
rnacentral:rRNA from 1 species